rnacentral:rRNA from 1 species
GACGAACGCUGGCGGCGUGCUUAACACAUGCAAGUCGAACGGAAAGGCCCUGCUUUUGGGGGGUGCUCGAGUGGCGAACGGGGGAGUAACACGUGAGUAACCUGCCCUUGACUUUGGGAUAACUUCAGGAAACUGGGGCUAAUACCGGAUAUGAGCUCCUGCUGCAUGGUGGGGGUUGGAAAGUUUCGGCGGUUGGGGAUGGACUCGCGGCUUAUCAGCUUGUUGGUGGGGUAGUGGCUUACCAAGGCUUUGACGGGUAGCCGGCCUGAGAGGGUGACCGGCCACAUUGGGACUGAGGUACGGCCCAGACUCCUACGGGAGGCAGCAGUGGGGAAUAUUGCACAAUGGGCGGAAGCCUGAUGCAGCAACGCCGCGUGCGGGAUGACGGCCUUCGGGUUGUAAACCGCUUUCGCCUGUGACGAAGCGUGAGUGACGGUAAUGGGUAAAGAAGCACCGGCUAACUACGUG